UGAGGAGUGGAUUCGUUCAGU
rnacentral:piRNA from 1 species